rnacentral:rRNA from 1 species
UUGGAGGGCAAGUCUGGUGCCAGCAGCCGCGGUAAUUCCAGCUCCAAUAGCGUAUAUUAAAGUUGUUGCAGUUAAAAAGCUCGUAGUUGAAUUUCGGGGUUAGUAGGUUGGUCAUGCCUCUGGUAUGUACUGAUCUCACUGAUUCCUCCCUCUUGACGAACUGUAAUGUCAUUAAUUUGGUGUUGCAGGAAAUCAGGACUGUUACUUUGAAAAAAUUAGAGUGUUUAAAGCAGGCUAAGGCUCGAAUACAUUAGCAUGGAAUAAUGAAAUAGGACGUUUGAACCUAUUUUGUUGGUUUCUAGGAUCGACGUAAUGAUUAAUAGGGAUAGUUGGGGGCAUUAGUAUUCAAUUGUCAGAGGUGAAAUUCUUGGAUUUAUUGAAGACUAACUACUGCGAAAGCAUUUGCCAAGGAUGUUUUCAUUAAUCAAGAACGAAAGUUAGGGGAUCGAAGACGAUCAGAUACCGUCGUAGUCUUAACCAUAAACUAUGCCGACUAGGGAUCGGAUGAUGUUAAUUUUUUAAUGACUCAUUCGGCGCCUUACGGGAAAC